rnacentral:lncRNA from 1 species
CUUUGGAUCUGGAACUUACCAUAAGUUCCAGUCUACAACCUACUGCUGAGGGAGAACUUUUAUACAGUAUGCAAGAGACCGUAACUCAGAUUUCAGAACCACCUAAACAGGUUGUAACUCCAGUCCCAGAAUAUCAAGAAGUGGCAGUUCCAGCACCUGUUCAGGAUCAAGCCAAGUAUCCACUUUCAUCCAUUGUCUCAUUGAAUUCCUUGGACCAGGAACUCACUCUAAGUUCAGAGCUCCUUGGAGAGGCUCACCAACUGACAACUCCAGAUGAGACUAUGGUUCUACCGCCAAAGGACCGUCAAGGAAUAUAUCCAGAUCAUGAUCAUCAUAAGCAUUUAAAUCUAACUGAGGUCACCAAUCAACCUUUCCAUUUAGAACAUACUGUUCAGCAUCAACCUACUAUUGAGGAGGAACGUUCACAAAGCAUUCAGAAGAAGACAACACAAAUUACAGAACCAGGCAAAAAAGUUGUACCUCUAGCUCAAGAAAGUGAAGAGGUGACAAUUCCAAUGCCAAUACUAAAAGAAACUGCAUUUCCAACACCUCACAGUAUGGCAUUACAAUCUUUGGAUGAGAAAUUAACAAUACAUUCACAGUCUCCU